AUUGAACGCUGGCGGCAUGCUUUACACAUGCAAGUCGAACGGUAACAGGUUAAGCUGACGAGUGGCGAACGGGUGUGUAAUGCAUCGGAACGUGCCCGAUCGUGGGGGAUAACGCAGCGAAAGCUGCGCUAAUACCGCAUACGAUCUGAGGAUGAAAGCGGGGGACCGUAAGGCCUCGCGCGAUCGGAGCGGCCGAUGUCAGAUUAGGUAGUUGGUGGGGUAAAGGCCCACCAAGCCGACGAUCUGUAGCUGGUCUGAGAGGACGACCAGCCACACUGGGACUGAGACACGGCCCAGACUCCUGCGGGAGGCAGCAGUGGGGAAUUUUGGACAAUGGGCGAAAGCCUGAUCCAGCAAUGCCGCGUGCAGGAAGAAGGCCUUCGGGUUGUAAACUGCUUUUGUACGGAGCGAAAAGGUCCUUUCUAAUACAAGGGGCUCAUGACGGUACCGUAAGAAUAAGCACCGGCUAACUACGUGCCAGCCGCCGCGGUAACAC
rnacentral:rRNA from 1 species